UGCUUCCUUCUCUCUUUGUCCUCAACUUAUAUGAUUUUGAUGAUUGAUAAUUGAUGUGAGUAAUAUCGUGUUGUGGCAAUGGUAAUGGUGAUGUAAUGGUAAUGAUUGAAUAAAGAAUUUGGUACGUUCUUAAAACACAAGAUUAGUAAAAUUCACUUCAUCGUUGGUGUAAAACAAUAAUUCUAUUCAUUCCUAGAGCAAGUACGAGGGCUGGAGCUUUGUUCUUCGAAGUGUGAGGAUCCAAAUAUCUUGUGUUUAUCCAUAGAGAUUUCGUAAGGAUAAGUUUUUGUCGCUGCUAUUAUUAUUAUUAUCAUCAUUUCUUUUUGGAAGGGAGUUAGCACAUGUUCAGAAAAAUUGGUAACUGUUUCUCGCAUGGUGGUUGUUUUUUCAUUCUUUCUAUCUAUCUUUGAAUGCUAUCUUCUUUGUUAUUUUUCAGUUCUUGGUCCUUUACAAAAGAAAAAAUGUUUGUAUGACGAGAAGAAAUGUGUUUUGCCAAAUGUGAUUUAUAAUUAAAAUAUCGUUACAACUAUUUUUCCUUUAUUAUUCAUAGUCUUAGACUAAGAUUAUUGUUUGUUAAUUUGGAAAGUGUAAUCAAUAAAUUUAAUGUACUUUAUUGAAAAUGUUCCGCAUUCUGGAAAGAAUCUUCUAAAUAAAAAUAUAGGAGUGGUACAAGGAUAUUGUGGCAACUUAGACCAAACCAAAGUGCAUCUGCUGAUCAGUUGCUCUUUCCACUUUCUUCAGGUUUUCAGUUCAUAAGAGUGGGAAGAAGUUGACGAAGGUGAAUAUAAUGAGAAGGCAACUUUGUUAUACUGAUUCUUAGUGAGAAUUAUCAUAUUCCUCAUAUUUUACUUACAUGAGUUUCAAUCUUAUCUAAUUUAGGCUCAUUAUGUAAGUAUUGUCAUCUUGAUCCCCAUCCUUUAUUAGUCUUUUCUUUUGUUUUUGUUCCAUUGAAAUUUAUGGAGGUGACUUUGUAUCAAUGAUUACUAGUGCUUGGAAAUUGAGUUUUUUUGGAGAUUUUGGGAGUAUGUGGAUAGAAUUGAAUUUGAGAAUAUGCAAGAACUAAUCUCUGGAAGCAUCUAUUGUGAGAACACAGUUUUCUUGCCAUCCUUAUGGUGCUCUUUCUUGAGGGCUUUUCCAGAAGUGUCUGGUGGAUUGUCAAUGAUAUUGAAUUUCUCUGUUGUAUUUACUUCGUAA